AACGAACGCUGGCGGCGUGCCUAACACAUGCAAGUCGUGCGAGAACGGGGGGGAAACUCCCCUAGUAAAGCGGCGAACGGGUGAGUAACACGUAGGUAAUCUACCCUCGAGACUGGGAUAACCUACCGAAAGGUGGGCUAAUACCGGAUAUGACCACGGGAGGUUCGCCUUCUGUGGUGAAUGGUGGCCAAUGCUUGCAAGCUACCACUCGCGGAUGAGCCUGCGCGCCAUUAGCUAGUUGGCGGGGUAAUGGCCCACCAAGGCGAUGAUGGCUAGCUGGUCUGAGAGGAUGGCCAGCCACACUGGGACUGAAACACGGCCCAGACUCCUACGGGAGGCAGCAGUGGGGGAUAUUGCGCAAUGGGCGAAAGCCUGACGCAGCGACGCCGCGUGGGUGAUGAAGGCCUUCGGGUCGUAAAGCCCUGUCGAGGGGGAAGAAACGGCUUCGACCUAACACGUCGAGGUCCUGACGGUACCCCUAAAGGAAGCACCGGCUAACUCCGUGCCAGCCGCCGCUGUAAUAC
rnacentral:rRNA from 1 species